rnacentral:rRNA from 1 species
GACAGAGGGUGCAAACGUUGUUCGGAUUUACUGGGCGUAAAGCGCGUGUAGGCGGCUUGGCAAGUCGGAUGUGAAAGCCCACGGCUCAACCGUGGAAGCGCAUCCGAAACUGCUUCGCUCGAGUCUCGGAGAGGAAGGUGGAAUGCUUGGUGUAGAGGUGAAAUUCGUAGAUAUCAAGCAGAACACCUGCGGCGAAGGCGGCCUUCUGGACGAUGACUGACGCUGAGACGCGAAAGCGUGGGGAGCAAACGGG